GGUUCGACACUAUAUCUUUCGUACGUUCAACAGGUAUGUUCACACUAGACGCCAAUCUCAUGCAGAUAUAUGAAUGCGUUGACCCUUGGUCAAUUAAAGCAACAACACUUAUAUUAAAAUGAGAGAAAGUACCCGUAAUAAUAUCAGGAGCAGUGGCUUCCUCUCGAGCAUGUUUGCAUACGUUCUUGCCGGGGCUCGAACCUCAGAUUUUGUAGCGUCUUUAGUCAUGACUCGACUGCCACUAGCACUCCCAGGGUAUCUUGGAGGUCUACCUCAUAGAAUGGGAGCACUCGACUUCAUAGCUAUUU
rnacentral:lncRNA from 1 species